rnacentral:rRNA from 1 species
AUUGAACGCUGGCGGCAGGCCUAACACAUGCAAGUCGAGCGAGCGGCGGACGGGUGAGUAAUGUAUGGGAAACUGCCUGAUGGAGGGGGAUAACGACUGGAAACGGUAGCUAAUACCGCAUACCAUCAGAUGUGUCCAAAUGUGCUGAGCGAGUAGGUGGGGUAACGCCUCACCUAGGCGACGAUCCCUAGCUGGUCUGAGAGGAUGACCCGCCACACUGGAACGGAGACACGGUCCAGACUCCUACGUGAGGCAGCAGUGGGGAAUAUUGCACAAUGGGCGCAAGCCUGAUGCAGCCAUGCCGCGUGUGUGAAGAAGGCCUUCGGGUUGUAAAGCACUUUCAGUGGGGAGGCGUUACCCGCAGAAGAAGCACCGGCUAACUCCGUGCCAGCAGCCGCGGUAAUUC